rnacentral:rRNA from 1 species
AACGAACGCUGGCGGCGUGCUUAACACAUGCAAGUCGAACGGAAAGGCCCUGCUUUUUGGCGGUGCUCUAGUUGCGAACGGGGAAGUAACACGUGAGUAACCUGCCCUUGACUGUGGGAUAACUUCAUGAAACUUGGGCUAAUACCGGAUAGGAGCUCCUGCUGCAUGGUGGGGGUUGGAAAGUUUCGGCGGUUGGGAAUGGACUGGCGGCUUAUUGGCUUGUUGGUGGGGUAGUGGCUUAGCAAGGCUUGGACGGGUAGCAGGCCUGAGAGGCUGACCGGACCAGUUGGGCUUGAAAUGCGGCCCAGACUCGUCUGGGAGGCAGCAGUGGGGAAGAUAGUACAAUGGGCGGAGGGAUGAUGCAGCAAAGCAGCGUGCGGUAUGACGGCAUUCGGGUUGUAAAGCGCUUUCGCCUGUGACGAAGCGUGAGUGACGGUAAUGGGUAAAGAAGCACCGGCUAACUACGUG